UAAAACCUGCAAGACUCCACUUACAU
rnacentral:tRNA from 1 species